GACGAACGCUGGCGGCGUGCUUAACACAUGCAAGUCGAACGCUGAAGCCUAGCUUGCUGGGUGGAUGAGUGGCGAACGGGUGAGUAACACGUGAGUAACCUGCCCUCUUCUUUGGGAUAACGCCCGGAAACGGGUGCUAAUACUGGAUAUUCACUGAUCUUCGCAUGGGGGUUGGUGGAAAGGUUUUUUCUGGUGGGGGAUGGGCUCGCGGCCUAUCAGCUUGUUGGUGGGGUGAUGGCCUACCAAGGCUUUGACGGGUAGCCGGCCUGAGAGGGUGACCGGUCACAUUGGGACUGAGAUACGGCCCAGACUCCUACGGGAGGCAGCAGUGGGGAAUAUUGCACAAUGGGCGAAAGCCUGAUGCAGCGACGCCGCGUGAGGGAUGGAGGCCUUCGGGUUGUAAACCUCUUUCGCUCAUGGUCAAGCCGCAGCUUUGGGUUGUGGUGAGGGUAGUGGGUAAAGAAGCGCCGGCUAACUACGUGCCAGCAGCCGCGGUAAUACGUAGGGCGCGAGCGUUGUCCGGAAUUAUUGGGCGUAAAGGGCUUGUAGGCGGUUGGUCGCGUCUGCCGUGAAAUCCUCUGGCUUAACUGGGGGCGCGCGGUGGGUACGGGCUGACUUGAGUGCGGUAGGGGAGACUGGAACUCCUGGUGUAGCGGUGGAAUGCGCAGAUAUCAGGAAGAACACCGGUGGCGAAGGCGGGUCUCUGGGCCGUUACUGACGCUGAGGAGCGAAAGCGUGGGGAGCGAACAGG
rnacentral:rRNA from 1 species